UACGAAGGGGCUAGCGUUGCUCGGAAUCACUGGGCGUAAAGGGUGCGUAGGCGGGUCUUUAAGUCAGGGGUGAAAUCCUGGAGCUCAACUCCAGAACUGCCUUUGAUACUGAAGAUCUUGAGUUCGGGAGAGGUGAGUGGAACUGCGAGUGUAGAGGUGAAAUUCGUAGAUAUUCGCAAGAACACCAGUGGCGAAGGCGGACUCGACUG
rnacentral:rRNA from 1 species